rnacentral:rRNA from 1 species
GACGUAGGGGGCCAGCGUUGCUCGGAAUUACUGGGCGUAAAGGGUCCGUAGGCGGUGCGGUAAGUCGGGAGUGAAAUCUCUGGGCUUAACUCAGAGGCUGCUUCCGAAACUGCCGUGCUAGAGUGCGAGAGAGGCAAGUGGAAUUGCGGGUGUAGCGGUGAAAUGCGCAGAUAUCGGGAAGAACACCCGUGGCGAAGGCGGCUCUCUGGGACGGUACUGACGCUGAGACGCGAAAGCGUGGGGAGCGAACAGG